GGAGCCUUUCAAGGCCUAUCUGGAUGUGUUCCUGUGUGCCCUGAGCUAGAUUGUAUAGCCCUGCUCUGGCAGGGGGGUUGGAUUUGAUGAUCUCUUUGGGUGCCUUCCAACCCCUAACAUCCUGUGAUCCACAGCUCUCCUGCUGCAGCAGAUCACCUCUCCUUACCCUUCCACACUGCUCAUGCCUGCCCAAAUCACGUUUACUUUGGGACAGGCCCCUCAGAUAGUGUUAAGCACAGCAGGCUUCUGCCUGGCUGCUAAGUCACCCUCAGACUCUAAAAGCUUUGGAACUUGCUUUCUGUCUUGGGUUCUCACCAACCUCAUGGGGAACUCCUGGAUUCUUGCAGUCUCCCCUAAGGACCUGCCUUGAUGCUGCCAUAUUUGAGUCCUUGACCCAAAUGCUCUCUAGCUAUGCUUGGUCAAUAGGAGAAGAAAUCUGAGUCACAAAGUAGGAGUCUUCUCCUACCCUUGAGCAGUGCUAACUUUCAACAGCAAAUCCCCUGAAACAGCAGAGUUUUAUACCUUAAAGGUCUGCAGCAGGACUUUGCCAUCACUGAUGUGCCAAAACACAACUUUUUUGCUGAAUCUGUGGGCAGCUUUGCAGGGAAGAUGACAGAAACCAUCACCAGCUGAACUCCUAGCAGAUGGGAGCAGAGGCCCAGAGGGGCUAAUCCUGAAAUGCAUUUAGAAGAUGUCAUGGGAAAUUAGACCCCACAUGACUUUGAGAACCUGCUGGGGACAGAAGUGACUGUCAGAGAUCACACAGGCAGAAGAGAGAACUGGAAGACUCCCCAGGUUCAGGCAGCAGCCUUCAUUCUUUCUGAAGCACGCAGCUGGAGACAGUGGCCACUGCUUUGUGCCCAGCCUGGUUUCAGUGAGGCUCAGCUUACAGGUGGCAGCAGCUCUCACUUUACUAUUCUUUUAAGCAAACCCACUAAUAAUAAAACUUAGCUUCUCUUGCAUGGCAAGAA